rnacentral:rRNA from 1 species
GUAAGGAAUAUUGGUCAAUGGACGAAAGUCUGAACCAGCCAUACCGCGUGAAGGAUGAAGGCCCUCUGGGUUUUAAACUUCUUUUAUCUGGGACGAAAUAAGGGUAUUCUUACUCACUUGACGGUCCCAGAGGAAUAAGCACCGGCUAACUCCGUGCCAGCAGCCGCGGUAAUACGGAGGGUGCAAGCGUUAUCCGGAUUCACUGGGUUUAAAGGGUGCGUAGGUGGGUAUUUAAGUCAGUGGUGAAAUCUCCGAGCUUAACUCGUAAACUGCCAUAGAUACUAUUUACCUUGAAUGCCCUAGAGGUAAGCGGAAUAUGUCAUGUAGCGGUGAAAUGCUUAGAUAUGUCAUGGAACACCAAUUGCGAAGGCAGCUUACUACGGGACGACUGACACUGAUGCACGAAAGCGUGGGGAGCAAACAGGAUUAGAUACCCCUGUAGUCC